AUUAGACAUUAAAAUCCAAAGAAAGAAAACACCUAGAUUGCUCCAACUUGGCAGCAAGUGCAUCCAAGAUUCCUCCUUUCCCUUGCUUGCGGCAGAUUGGGUUAUGGAUAGGUUUUGGGUAGUUUUAUGGUGUAGAAUGGAUAGGGAAUGGUAUGGAAAGUUUUAGGGUGAGUGUGGAGGAGUGUUUGAUGGUUGGAGGGUGGUAGAGAACUCGGCAAAGAUGGUGGAAUAAGGUGGAGUGGCUGGUAUGUUUUUUGGGCACUAGAAUGGUGUUUUUGGGGUGUUUUGC
rnacentral:lncRNA from 1 species